rnacentral:rRNA from 1 species
CCAAUAGCGUAUAUUAAAGUUGUUGCAGUUAAAAAGCUCGUAGUUGAAUUUCGGGACUAAUAUGUUGGUCGUGCUUUUGUACGUACUGGCAUUAUUGGUUUCUACCUUCUGAAGAACCGCGAUGUCAUUAAUUUGGUGUCGUGGGAAAUCAGGACUGUUACUUUGAAAAAAUUAGAGUGUUUAAAGCAGGCUCACGCUUGAAUACAUUAGCAUGGAAUAAUGAAAUAGGACGUUUGAUUCUAUUUUGUUGGUUUCUAGGAUCGACGUAAUGAUUAAUAGGGAUAGUUGGGGGCAUUAGUAUUCAAUUGUCAGAGGUGAAAUUCUUGGAUUUAUUGAAGACUAACUACUGCGAAAGCAUUUGCCAAGGAUGUUUUCAUUAAUCAAGAACGAAAGUUAGGGGAUCGAAGACGAUCAGAUACCGUCGUAGUCUUAACCAUAAACUAUGCCGACUAGGGAUCGGAUGAUGUUAAUUUUUUAAUGACUCAUUCGGCGCCUUACG